UUUUUUUUGUAUUUUGU
rnacentral:sRNA from 1 species